GAUGAACGCUGGCGGCGUGCCUAAUACAUGCAAGUCGAGCGAACAGACGAGGAGCUUGCUCCUCUGACGUUAGCGGCGGACGGGUGAGUAACACGUGGGUAACCUACCUAUAAGACUGGGAUAACUUCGGGAAACCGGAGCUAAUACCGGAUAAUAUAUUGACCCGCAUGGUUCAAUAGUGAAAGACGGUUUUGCUGUCACUUAUAGAUGGAUCCGCGCCGCAUUAGCUAGUUGGUAAGGUAACGGCUUACCAAGGCAACGAUGCGUAGCCGACCUGAGAGGGUGAUCGGCCACACUGGAACUGAGACACGGUCCAGACUACUACGGGAGGCAGCAGUAGGGAAUCUUCCGCAAUGGGCGAAAGCUUGACGGAGCAACGCCGCGUGAGUGAUGAAGGUCUUCGGAUCGUAAAACUCUGUUAUUAGGGAAGAACAAAUGUGUAAGUAACUAUGCACGUCUUGACGGUACCUAAUCAGAAAGCCACGGCUAACUACGUG
rnacentral:rRNA from 1 species